CGUAGGGUGCGAGCGUUAUUCGGAAUCACUGGGCGUAAAGCGUGCGUAGGCUGCUCGGAAAGUUGGGAGUGAAAGCCCAGGGCUCAACCCUGGAAUUGCUUUCAAAACUACCGAGCUCGGAUUCGGGAGAGGAUAGCGGAAUCGUCAGUGUAGCAGUGAAAUGCGUAGAUAUUGACAGGAACACCAGUGGCGCAAGCGGCUAUCUGGACCGACAUCGACGCUGAGGCACGAAAGCGUGGGGAUCAAACAGGAUUAGAUACCCUGGUAGUCCACGCCGUAAACGAUGUGUGUUUGUCGCCGGGGGGUUCACUCUUCGGUGACGCAGCUAACGCGUUAAGCACACCGCCUGGGAAGUACGGUCGCAAGAUUA
rnacentral:rRNA from 1 species